rnacentral:rRNA from 1 species
AUUGAACGCUGGCGGCAGGCCUAACACAUGCAAGUCGAGCGGAUGAAGGGAGCUUGCUCCUGGAUUCAGCGGCGGACGGGUGAGUAAUGCCUAGGAAUCUGCCUUGUAGUUGGGGAUAACGUCCGGAAACGGGCGCUAAUACCGCAUACGUCCUGAUGUAGAAAGUGGGGGAUCUUCGGACCUCACGCUAUCAGAUGAGCCUAGGUCGGAUUAGCUAGUUGGUGGGGUAAAGGCCUACCAAGGCGACGAUCCGUAACUGGUCUGAGAGGAUGAUCAGUCACACUGGAACUGAGACACGGUCCAGACUCCUACGGGAGGCAGCAGUGGGGAAUAUUGGACAAUGGGCGAAAGCCUGAUCCAGCCAUGCCGCGUGUGUGAAGAAGGUCUUCGGAUUGUAAAGCACUUUAAGUUGGGAGGAAGGGCAGUAAGUUAAUACCUUGCUGUUUUGACGUUACCAAAAGAAUAAGCACCGGCUAACUUCGUG